rnacentral:rRNA from 1 species
UGGGGAAUAUUGCACAAUGGGGGAAACCCUGAUGCAGCGACGCCGCGUGAGCGAAGAAGGUUUUCGAAUCGUAAAGCUCUGUCCUAUGGGAAGAUAAUGACGGUACCAUAGGAGGAAGCUCCGGCUAACUACGUGCCAGCAGCCGCGGUAAUACGUAGGGGGCAAGCGUUGUCCGGAAUCACUGGGCGUAAAGGGUUCGCAGGCGGAAAUGCAAGUCAGUUGUGAAAGGCAGAGGCUCAACCUCUGUAAGCAAUUGAAACUGUAUUUCUUGAGGUGUGGAGAGGCAAGUGGAAUUCCUAGUGUAGCGGUGAAAUGCGUAGAUAUUAGGAAGAAUACCGGUGGCGAAGGCGACUUGCUGGACACAAACUGGCGCUGAGGAACGAAAGCGUGGGUAGCAAACAGG